UACAGAGGGUGCGAGCGUUAACCGGAAUUACUGGGCGUAAAGCGCACGUAGUCGGCUUGGCAAGUCGGGUGUGAAAUCCCCGGGCUCAACCUGGGAACUGCAUCCGAGACUGCAUUGCUAGAGUAUGGGAGAGGGAAGCGGAAUUUCUGGUGUAGCAGUGAAAUGCGUAGAUAUCAGAAGGAACAUCAGUGGCGAAGGCGGCUUCCUGGACCAAUACUGACGAUCAGGUGCGAAAGCGUGGGGAGCAAACAGG
rnacentral:rRNA from 1 species